UUUUGGGCUAAAGAUCAGGCUGAUUUCGUAAGCGAUUGGCCAGCAUUUGGUGAACACAGUCACCUUGAAAGAAAUCCAUAAGGGUUAGGAUUACACUGGAGAAAUACUAGAGUCUGGCGGCCUAAGGGCAACCGUCUCACGGUCACAAACCCUCAAUACACGCGCCAAAAUUUUCCCGACAGUGAAUGAUAGCGCUCACAACAUCUCAAUAAGCGACGGAAUUUACGAUAUAUUUUACAUCAGAAGCAUUGUUGCGAGAUAACGAUCUGAUCUCUUGCUCUGAACUUGACGUGUUGUCAGUAAGAAAGGUAAAUAUUUGGAAGACAGGUUAUGUUGUUUAAAAUAUGACUUUGGCAAGAUUUGUCUGGAUAAUUGAUCAUUGCUCUCACCAACUCGAAGCAUUUUGAGUGGAACGUUUCGAAGUUGAAAGACAGUACAGCUUUGUACUUAGCUGGUGAGGUAUUAUCUCGCUGUAGAGUUUGUUUACACCAAUCAAGAGGAGAAAGAGUGUUUUAUUGAAAGAAAAUGAGUUUGUCAUCGGGAUCUGGAACCCCGGAGUUGGAGAAAAUGUCUGGUGAAGAACCGAGUGGGGAUGUCUUACUUCAAACAAAGUACCCUGAACCUUAUCCUGAAGACUCGGAAGCAAGGCAAGAGUUGAAAGAGCGGGAACUUGAGGAGGCGAGAGCCAGAGCCGCACAGAUGGAGAAAACCAUGCGGUGGUGGUCAGAUUGCACGGCAAACUGGCGCGAGAAAUGGGGGAAAGUUCGCGCAGAACGCAACAAAGCACGCGAGGAUAACAGACAACUAAAACUCAAGAUUGAAGCGCAAGCCAAGGAUAUCGUGACACUAAAACGCGAGAGACAAGAAGCCUUGGAAGUAAAUGCUCGUUUAGAGAGGGAUAUUGAUAAAUUGGAGAGAGAAUUAAAAAGGGGGAAGCGUGUGUUGCCGUCCGCUCGCGUGGAACCCUCCUUGAAGUCGGACGGAACUCAGGAAAGUGUUUACGAUCGGACCGUGCCGCGAACGGGCGCUGAACAACAAUUUAUCGAUCAGAUUCUCGAGAAGAACGAUCUUUACGAGAGGGAAAGAUUGUCGCCACGAGGGGAAAGACUAUCCCCGAGAGAAAGUGGAAAGAGUCUCAAUAACAAUGACGAAUUUUCACAAGAUAAUAUCAAGGAACUCAAAAUGUUAUAUCUCAAGCUCGAAGAAACACAAAGAUUGCUCACUGAGGAAAAAAGCUCGAAAUCCAAUCUCCUGGAAGAAAUUGAGUGUCUUCAGUCUGAUUUGAUGGCAGCUAAACUCAAGAACGAAGAAUUGAUGGCAAAUCGGACGGGUACACAAGAACAGCUGACCAAGCUCCGUAGUCAGUUUGAUCAGGAGGUGAAGUCACUGAGCGCAGAUCUAGAAGAUGCUUAUGAUUCACCUGUUAUCUCCAAACAAGUCAAAGGUCUCAGGGCAGAGAUUGAGCGACUUCAAAUCGAGAAUUCGCAAGAAUGGGGCAAGCGAGAGAAGCUAGAGAGCGAAAAGCUCUCUUUGGAGAGGGAGAACAAGAAACUCAAGCAUCAAAUCGAGGAUUUGGAAAGUCUACUGAGCCAUAAAACAGCACGCGCAACUAAACUCCUAGAUACUGACAUGAAAGAGAUCCAGAAAAAGCUAGACGAGAAGAACGCUGAACUAGUUGAGAUGAGACACGCUUACAACAAACUCAAGAAACAGCUGCAAGAGAAGACCGCUGACCUUGAUCACUCGCAAAAGAGAGUCGAACAGCAUGACGCGGAGGUCAAGAAACUUCGCGCACGCGUAGAAGAGCUGAAGCAGGAGCUCGCCAAGGCUGAGGACGAGACUGACGUGCAAGCAAACAAGGUUCGUAAGAUCCAGCGGUCUCUCGACGAGCAGACGGAGCGCGCCGACAGCUUACAAGUACAAGUGGAGCAUCUCACAUCACGGCUGCGCACUACAUCGGUCAGCGGUCCUCCGGUUAAGAAAUUUGGACGUGGCAAAGCAUCACGGUCUAUAUCACUGCAGCUCCCGCUGUCCUCUGACAGUGACGAGAAUUACUAGAAGCUUCUCUGUGUAGAUGUCAUAUCAAAAAUACACCUGAGCAGGGCAACUAAAGAACUAUACCAUGUCACCAAUCAUCACUAUACCAUGUGACCAAUCAUCACUAUACCAUGUGACCAAUCAUCACUAUACCAUGUGACCAAUUAUCAUGUCUUGAAGAUGAAAUGAUUCAAGGUUUAUCAGAAAUACAAUGGACAACAGUUGAUGGCCAGAUUCGCGAUUUCAUUUUUGUAUAUAUUACCAUAGUCUCAAUCUCUACCAAGUAAUUGUGCAAAAUCAUCUCAAGCCGGAUUGAUUUCGCUGCAUUUACUCGUGUUUGCAUUUGCAACCCGACGAAGGGACCCGAUACACGUGAGGCCCGAGAUUAGAAGAGCCGAUUAGAAUUAUCACCUCUGCCACAGUUUACUUCAAGACGUAAUUAAAUGUGCUCUGGACACUCAUGAAUGGACUCGAUUGCUUAAUCUGUUGUGAAGUUGCUAUCUCUGCUGCCGGGAUAUUAUUUGUAAGAUUUUUACACUGUAAAAGAUGUGUUCUCUUCCCCUAUGUGGUCCGGUUUGAACGAUUCUGUUGGAUCAGCUGAUUCUUCAGUGCAGUCAUUGGCUAAGCUGUCACCUGAAGUGGUAUUGGCAGGAAAAGCAACCUCUACAAGUGCUAAAUACUCCGCUGCUUUUAGUAGAUGGAAAACAUGGUGUUCCUCUCAUCAGCUUCAGGCUUCCUAUGCCUGCUUUGCACUAUCAUGUGGCGCUUCAUCUUCAGUGGCUGAUGCUAGACGCAAAUUCACCCGCCCCUUUAGAAGCAGCAUCACAUGGCAUAACUUGGGCUCAUCAGAUAGCUGCUUAUCCCUCGCCUACAGAACAUCCUCUUGUCAAACAAGUUAUGGCAGGUGCUAAACGUAUUCUGGCGCGUCCAAAGAUGAAAAAGGAGCCAAUAACUGUAGUUCAGUUAGAACAGUUAGUUAAAGAUAAAGAUAAGGCCGGUCCUUUUGCUUCAUUGUACGAUUUAAGAUCAGUUUCAUUAGGUUUGUUAGCUUUUGCCGCUUUUUCGAGAUUUGAUGAAUUAGCAAAUCUCACUUUGUCAGAUUUAACUCUUCGGGAAGAUUAUUUGGAGAUUUCUAUUAAAUCUGCCAAAACCGAUCAACUAAGAGAGGAAAAUUGCGUGCUUUUAGCAGCUUCACAGAAGUCUACUUGUCCAGUGUCUAUUAUUUCUAGAUAUUUAAAAGUAGCAAAGCUGAAUUAUGAGGAUUUCAUAUUUUGUCAAAUUUCUAAAUGUUUGACAGGCUAUAAGCCUAGAGCAGGAAAAAGGAAAUUAAGUUAUACUAGGCUCAGAGAGCUAGUUCUUGAAGCGUUUUCAGGCAUUAUUCCUAAUAUAACAGACAUCGGCACCCAUAGCCAUAGAAGUGGCGGUGCAACAGCAGCAGUUGCAGCAGGCGUCGCAGAUAGAUUAUUUCAAAUACAUGGCCGAUGGAAAAGUUCUUGUGCAAAAGAUGGUUAUAUUAAGGAUUCUAAUAUUGCUAAACUUUCAGUUUCUCAAUCAUUGGUAAUUUAAACAUGACUAAUGACUAGCCCGGGGGUCGUUGAAGGGGGUACAGCUGGCCCGGGGUUUUCCUCCGUUAGUUGUGAGGGCUUUAGUCGGUUGUUUUUCACCCAGCUGUUCUCACUGCUCCCUUCCAGCCAGUUGGCUGAUUAAAUACGUUUCACUUAUAGUGCUCAAUUCAGUUCAUUCAGAAAUAAAACAGUCGCGCUGCCAGUCGAGCAGACCACACCUA